AUCAAAAAGUUUGACUCGUGGUCUGCUGUCAUUAUUAGAUGAUGUAGCACCCACGUAGACUGACAAAGUCACAUUUCUAACUUAGAAACAGUCUACCUCUUACUUUAGCUUUAAGGUGUACAUUUGGCUUAAAUUAGAGCUCUGAGCAUUUUCUUGAAGCUGAUUUUGAAUUUAUUAAAGAGUGUUUAAACCUUGAGAUGGUGAUGGGUGA
rnacentral:lncRNA from 1 species